AUUUAUAAGCCUAGCCAGAAUGUGUUUGGCUUUCGCCACCCAUUUUAAAUUUAUUUUGCUAUGGCCUUUUUCGAGGUUAUAGGUUCAUAGGUUCAUACUAGGCUAUCUGCCCUAGG